ACCCCCCAUCUACCACCAGGAAAAAUUAUGUGCAAAUCUACUGCAGAAUUUUGAUGAUUAUUUUUAAAUGUUAUUAAACCAAACUGAACUUACAACAGAUAUUUAAAGCUUGGCUUAAGGACAUGCAAUUUUACUGGAGAAAAAUCUGGAGAAAAAGCCAUCUAAAAUCAGGUAUUGAACCAAACUGAACAUACCACCGAUCUGGUCAAAUAGCCAUAUUUACAAUCCAGCCCUUCCACAACAGGUGACAAAGCAAUUGGACUUGAAUGAUGUUCACAAUGACCACAACUAUCACUAGGCUUAAGGACUUGUAAAUUUAAUGCA